rnacentral:rRNA from 1 species
UGGGGAAUAUUGGACAAUGGGCGGAAGCCUGAUCCAGCAACGCCGCGUGAGGGAUGACGGCCUUCGGGUUGUAAACCUCUUUCAGCAUUGACGAAGCCGCAUCUUUGGGUGUGGUGACGGUAUGUGCAGAAGAAGCACCGGCCAACUACGAG